GGGCACAUGGUGUAGUUGGUUAUCACAUCCGCUUAGCACUUGCAUGCAAUGCGGGGGGUGCUGGGUUCAAUUCCCAGUGUGUCCA